CAAGGGCCAAACCCAAACAAUGAGUAGGCAGUCAGAACCAUCCAGCUGUUAGCAGAGAGAACAACUGUCAGCGAAAGGAGGAGAAAACAGCCUUACAACAGACACCAGAAGUUGGGUUACCCAACUCAGACCAUCCCACUUGGCAGAGUACCCCAGAUUGAGAAAGCAAUAAGGAACCAAACUUUACGUGUCUUGUGAGUCUAACCACCAGGAGUUUCAGAUCCGUGGAUUUGGUGAGGACCUUCUUGCUGUGUUGUCUCAUUCUGGAAGGGGAAAGGUGGAAGGAAUGAAUAAAGAAGGGAAGGACAAAGAGACAUCCACAGGCAUCAAAGGCAUCUCCAAAGGACAAAAGAAAGAGAAGAGCCAGCUGUUUAUUUCUGGAUUCCCGAGUUGUUUGUUAUCAGCUUCUCUCAGUUUCUUGACUGAAGACCAGAUCAGCUGACCUCCAACUUCUGCUGUCAUGUCUUGCCUACGGUGACGGACUGCAUCUUAGAACUAUGAUCCAGAAGAAGCCUCACUCCUUUAAGUUGCCUUUGUCAAUUUUUUUUGUAACAACAAAUAAAUGCUGUUCCUACCUUCCCACCA